AUUGCUCUAGUUGUCAUGUCAAAAAACUACUUAGACAGACUAUGAAGAGAUACAUAGGGUGAGAAACGGAGGCCUUCAGCCAACAGCUGGGAGAAGCUGAGUCCCAUCAGCCAUUCAAAAGACUGCAGCCCCAGCCAAGAGUUUGAUGUAACCUCAGGAGAGACCCUGAGCCAGAACCACCUAGGCCAACGAGCUAUACCUAGUGAUUCCAAAGUCCACAUAUAUUUACUCUGUUCUCACUGUACAAAGUAACCACUCUGAAGUCAAAAAAGCUGGGAUACAUGAAGACUGCCAUCCCUUGAGUCACUUGCCCUGUAGCUGCCACUGUUGGAAAAGGGCUUGCUUCUGUGUCCUUGUGCCCACUUUGAAAAUCCCUGGGAAGUCCUUGGAGUCAGAUGAGCAGGCCUCCGCCACUCUGCCAAAAAGUCUGUUCAAUCAGGAGUCCCCAACCCCUGAGCCAUGGACUGAUAUGGAGCUAUGGUCUGUUAGGAACUGGGCUGCCCAGGAGGAGCAAUGGUGCUUCUACAAUUUCCUUAUAGGAGGAGUGAAGAGUAAGCAUUUGGAUUGGACCAGGAUUUGGAGAACUUGUCAUGUUGCUCUACGUGCAUAUGAAAUACAUCAUUGUAACUUAGAAUGUGAAUUACAGAACAAACAUGAAAGUUAGAAAAAUAUUCUAAA
rnacentral:lncRNA from 1 species